AUGAAGAAUCGGGCCUGCCCGGUGAUAUGUUUAACGGCCGCGGUAAUUUGACCGUGCAAAGGUAGCAUAAUCAUUUGCUUUAUAAUUGAAGGCUGGAAUGAAUGGUUUGACAAGAAUUUUAUUGUCUCUUUUUUGUUUUUUAGAAUUUUAUUUUUAGGUGAAGAUGCCUAAAUUUUAUUGAUAGACAAGAAGACCCUGUCGAGCUUUAGGUUAUAUUUCAAGUUAUGAGAUUAGGUUAUAUCUUAUGGGUUGUUUUAGAUCUUUGGUUGGGGCGACUGAAGAACAUGAAAAGCUUCUUUUAUAAUUUUAUUUAAUAUUUUGAUCCGGGUAAAGUACCGGUUAAAAGAAUUAGUUACCGCAGGGAUAACAGCAUAAUCCUUUUGAAGAGUUCUUAUCGAGAAAAGGGCUUGUGACCUCGAUGUUGGAUCAGAAUGUCCUAAAGAUGUAGGAGUCUUUAAGGGUUGGUCUGUUCGACCAUUAAAAUUCUA
rnacentral:rRNA from 1 species